AGCGUACACGGUGGAUGCCCUGGCAGUCAGAGGCGAUGAAGGACGUGCUAAUCUGCGAUAAGCGUCGGUAAGGUGAUAUGAACCGUUAUAACCGGCGAUUUCCGAAUGGGGAAACCCAGUGUGAUUCGUCACACUAUCAUUAACUGAAUCCAUAGGUUAAUGAGGCGAACCGGGGGAACUGAAACAUCUAAGUACCCCGAGGAAAAGAAAUCAACCGAGAUUCCCCCAGUAGCGGCGAGCGAACGGGGAGCAGCCCAGAGCCUGAAUCAGUGUGUGUGUUAGUGGAAGCGUCUGGAAAGGCGCGCGAUACAGGGUGACAGCCCCGUACACAAAAAUGCACAUGCUGUGAGCUCGAUGAGUAGGGCGGGACACGUGGUAUCCUGUCUGAAUAUGGGGGGACCAUCCUCCAAGGCUAAAUACUCCUGACUGACCGAUAGUGAACCAGUACCGUGAGGGAAAGGCGAAAAGAACCCCGGCGAGGGGAGUGAAAAAGAACCUGAAACCGUGUACGUACAAGCAGUGGGAGCACGCUUAGGCGUGUGACUGCGUACCUUUUGUAUAAUGGGUCAGCGACUUAUAUUCUGUAGCAAGGUUAACCGAAUAGGGGAGCCGAAGGGAAACCGAGUCUUAACUGGGCGUUAAGUUGCAGGGUAUAGACCCGAAACCCGGUGAUCUAGCCAUGGGCAGGUUGAAGGUUGGGUAACACUAACUGGAGGACCGAACCGACUAAUGUUGAAAAAUUAGCGGAUGACUUGUGGCUGGGGGUGAAAGGCCAAUCAAACCGGGAGAUAGCUGGUUCUCCCCGAAAGCUAUUUAGGUAGCGCCUCGUGAAUUCAUCUCCGGGGGUAGAGCACUGUUUCGGCAAGGGGGUCAUCCCGACUUACCAACCCGAUGCAAACUGCGAAUACCGGAGAAUGUUAUCACGGGAGACACACGGCGGGUGCUAACGUCCGUCGUGAAGAGGGAAACAACCCAGACCGCCGGCUAAGGUCCCAAAGUCAUGGUUAAGUGGGAAACGAUGUGGGAAGGCCCAGACAGCCAGGAUGUUGGCUUAGAAGCAGCCAUCAUUUAAAGAAAGCGUAAUAGCUCACUGGUCGAGUCGGCCUGCGCGGAAGAUGUAACGGGGCUAAACCAUGCACCGAAGCUGCGGCAGCGACGCUUAUGCGUUGUUGGGUAGGGGAGCGUUCUGUAAGCCUGCGAAGGUGUGCUGUGAGGCAUGCUGGAGGUAUCAGAAGUGCGAAUGCUGACAUAAGUAACGAUAAAGCGGGUGAAAAGCCCGCUCGCCGGAAGACCAAGGGUUCCUGUCCAACGUUAAUCGGGGCAGGGUGAGUCGACCCCUAAGGCGAGGCCGAAAGGCGUAGUCGAUGGGAAACAGGUUAAUAUUCCUGUACUUGGUGUUACUGCGAAGGGGGGACGGAGAAGGCUAUGUUGGCCGGGCGACGGUUGUCCCGGUUUAAGCGUGUAGGCUGGUUUUCCAGGCAAAUCCGGAAAAUCAAGGCUGAGGCGUGAUGACGAGGCACUACGGUGCUGAAGCAACAAAUGCCCUGCUUCCAGGAAAAGCCUCUAAGCAUCAGGUAACAUCAAAUCGUACCCCAAACCGACACAGGUGGUCAGGUAGAGAAUACCAAGGCGCUUGAGAGAACUCGGGUGAAGGAACUAGGCAAAAUGGUGCCGUAACUUCGGGAGAAGGCACGCUGAUAUGUAGGUGAAGUCCCUCGCGGAUGGAGCUGAAAUCAGUCGAAGAUACCAGCUGGCUGCAACUGUUUAUUAAAAACACAGCACUGUGCAAACACGAAAGUGGACGUAUACGGUGUGACGCCUGCCCGGUGCCGGAAGGUUAAUUGAUGGGGUCAGCGCAAGCGAAGCUCUUGAUCGAAGCCCCGGUAAACGGCGGCCGUAACUAUAACGGUCCUAAGGUAGCGAAAUUCCUUGUCGGGUAAGUUCCGACCUGCACGAAUGGCGUAAUGAUGGCCAGGCUGUCUCCACCCGAGACUCAGUGAAAUUGAACUCGCUGUGAAGAUGCAGUGUACCCGCGGCAAGACGGAAAGACCCCGUGAACCUUUACUAUAGCUUGACACUGAACAUUGAGCCUUGAUGUGUAGGAUAGGUGGGAGGCUUUGAAGUGUGGACGCCAGUCUGCAUGGAGCCGACCUUGAAAUACCACCCUUUAAUGUUUGAUGUUCUAACGUUGACCCGUAAUCCGGGUUGCGGACAGUGUCUGGUGGGUAGUUUGACUGGGGCGGUCUCCUCCUAAAGAGUAACGGAGGAGCACGAAGGUUGGCUAAUCCUGGUCGGACAUCAGGAGGUUAGUGCAAUGGCAUAAGCCAGCUUGACUGCGAGCGUGACGGCGCGAGCAGGUGCGAAAGCAGGUCAUAGUGAUCCGGUGGUUCUGAAUGGAAGGGCCAUCGCUCAACGGAUAAAAGGUACUCCGGGGAUAACAGGCUGAUACCGCCCAAGAGUUCAUAUCGACGGCGGUGUUUGGCACCUCGAUGUCGGCUCAUCACAUCCUGGGGCUGAAGUAGGUCCCAAGGGUAUGGCUGUUCGCCAUUUAAAGUGGUACGCGAGCUGGGUUUAGAACGUCGUGAGACAGUUCGGUCCCUAUCUGCCGUGGGCGCUGGAGAACUGAGGGGGGCUGCUCCUAGUACGAGAGGACCGGAGUGGACGCAUCACUGGUGUUCGGGUUGUCAUGCCAAUGGCACUGCCCGGUAGCUAAAUGCGGAAGAGAUAAGUGCUGAAAGCAUCUAAGCACGAAACUUGCCCCGAGAUGAGUUCUCCCUGACUCCUUGA
rnacentral:rRNA from 1 species